GAUGAACGCUGGCGGCGUGCCUAAUACAUGCAAGUCGAGCGAAUGGAUUAAGAGCUUGCUCUUAUGAAGUUAGCGGCGGACGGGUGAGUAACACGUGGGUUACCUGCCCAUAAGACUGGGAUAACUCCGGGAAACCGGGGCUAAUACCGGAUAACAUUUUGAACCGCAUGGUUCGAAAUUGAAAGGCGGCUUCGGCUGUCACUUAUGGAUGGACCCGCGUCGCAUUAGCUAGUUGGUGAGGUAACGGCUCACCAAGGCAACGAUGCGUAGCCGACCUGAGAGGGUGAUCGGCCACACUGGGACUGAGACAAGGCCCAGACUCCUACGGGAGGCAGCAGUAGGGAAUCUUCCGCAAUGGACGAAAGUCUGACGGAGCAACGCCGCGUGAGUGAUGAAGGCUUUCGGGUCGUAAAACUCUGUUGUUAGGGAAGAACAAGUGCUAGUUGAAUAAGCUGGCACCUUGACGGUACCAGGAGAAUAAGCACCGGCUAACUCUGUGCCAGCCGCCGCCGUAA
rnacentral:rRNA from 1 species